GAUGAACGCUAGCGGCAGGCUUAACACAUGCAAGUCGAGGGGUAUAGGGAGCUUGCUUCCUAGAGACCGGCGCACGGGUGCGUAACGCGUAUGCAAUCUACCUUUUGCAGAGGAUAGCCCAGAGAAAUUUGGAUUAAUACCUCAUAGUAUGUGAGGAUGGCAUCAUUUUCACAUUAAAGUCACAACGGCAAAGAUGAGCAUGCGUCCCAUUAGCUAGUUGGUAAGGUAACGGCUUACCAAGGCUACGAUGGGUAGGGUCCUGAGAGGGAGAUCCCCCCACACUGGUACUGAGACACGGACCAGACUCCUACGGGAGGCAGCAGUGAGGAAUAUUGGACAAUGGGCGCAAGCCUGAUCCAGCCAUGCCGCGUGCAGGAUGACGGUCCUAUGGAUUGUAAACUGCUUUUGUACAGGAAGAAACACUACUUCGUGAAGUAGCUUGACGGUACUGUAAGAAUAAGG
rnacentral:rRNA from 1 species